AGGUCAAAUGCAAAUGAAGAACAACAAUCAGAAUUAGGAUCUCAAUUGCAAGAACAGGUGCAGCAAGUGCCACGGAAUUCAGCGUCUAAACCCAGAAUUGCGACUUGAUCCUGACAUGCUAAGGUUCGUAUAAGCUUCCUCUGCACACCAAGCUGCCGUUCAACUAAACAAUCGACCAUAUGCUGGUAGUAACAAUCAAGGUGGAGUAAAUCAAGAAAUCGAAGAAGAUGAUGAAAGUGAAGAACUAGACCUUACUUGAGAUUGAAUUUUGAAUGGCUAUAGAUGAAUGUUCUAUAGGAAUCUUUUGUUAUCAACCUUUUUGAAACUAAUUACUCUCUUGAAAUGUAUUAAACUUAUGCAUUUGGGGUAGAACAUUUGCUUUAUAUGAAUACUAUUUGCUUGAUGGAUAAUUUGUAUUAUUAAAAGUUUGAUUUUA